UCUCUUCACAGUCACCUAGCUCUCCGUUUUCUGUGUGCGCUGAAAAGAAAUCCGGUGUUAAUUAGGGCUGCACAAUAUAUCGUUAUUUUAUCGUCAUCGCAAUAUUAACUGGCGCAACAAACACAUCGCGAAAGGCUGCGACAUAUCGCGGAAGACACGCAGAGAUUUUUUGUGUUAGUUGAAAGAAAUCAUCAGUAGAAAACCGCAGUUUUAAAUCUAACUGUCGUUGCUUUUUUAUGGUUUUGUUUGGGUGGU